rnacentral:tRNA from 1 species
ACCUGGGUGGCUCAGUUAGUUAAGCACCUGACUUCGGCUCAGGUCCUGAUCUCGCGGUUCGUGGGUUCAAGUACCACCUUGGGCU